rnacentral:lncRNA from 1 species
CCUCACCUUCACUUUCUCUUUUCUCUUUUCUCUCACGUCACUUUCCCUCACCCUUCUCUCCACUCUCUCAAAGAAAAAAGAUAAAAAAAACAAUAAAAAAAGGAAAACAAGGAAGACAUUUACUGCUCCUCUUCUUCACUCCACAAACACCAUUGCGCCGAUAACCGCCUUUCACCCUCCACCAUUGACCCCACUGUCGCAACCACCAAAAUCCCUCCAUUCUACCCACCUCCACCACGACCUCACCUUUUUUCUUCUUUAAAGUCCCGUCGACGAACUUUUCACAACGCAACCUCCGACAUCCUCAUCCACCCCAUCAACCUCGUCA